UGGGUGGAUCCUCUAUUUCCUCAAGUGGGCCACUGGAUGGCUCCUCCAUGUCUUGGAGUAGAUCAAUGGGCAGCU
ensembl:miRNA